rnacentral:rRNA from 1 species
UACGUAGGGGGCAAGCGUUGUCCGGAUUUAUUGGGCGUAAAGAGCGUGUAGGCGGCCUGAAAGGUCAGCUGUGAAAACUCGAGGCUCAACCUCGAGACGUCGGUUGAAACCAUCUGGCUAGAGUCCGGAAGAGGAGAGUGGAAUUCCCGGUGUAGCGGUGAAAUGCGCAGAUAUCAGGAAGAACACCCGUGGCGAAGGCGGCUCUCUGGGACGGUACUGACGCUGAGACGCGAAAGCGUGGGGAGCGAACAGG